rnacentral:rRNA from 1 species
CACGUAGGGUGCAAGCGUUGUCCGGAAUUAUUGGGCGUAAAGGGCUCGUAGGCGGUCCGUCACGUCGGGAGUGAAAACUCGGGGCUCAACCCCGAGCCUGCUUUCGAUACGGGCGGACUAGAGGUAGGUAGGGGAGAACGGAAUUCCUGGUGUAGCGGUGGAAUGUGCAGAUAUCAGGAGGAACACCGGUGGCGAAGGCGGUUCUCUGGGCCUUACCUGACGCUGAGGAGCGAAAGCGUGGGGAGCGAACAGG